UACGAAGGGGGCUAGCGUUGUUCGGAAUUACUGGGCGUAAAGCGCACGUAGGCGGAUAUUUAAGUCAGGGGUGAAAUCCCAGAGCUCAACUCUGGAACUGCCUUUGAUACUGGGUAUCUCGAGUAUGGAAGAGGUGAGUGGAAUUCCGAGCGUAGAGGUGAAAUUCGUAGAUAUUCGGAGGAACACCAGUGGCGAAGGCGACUUACUGGACGAUUGUUGACGCUGAGGUGCGAAAGCGUGGGGAGCAAACAGG
rnacentral:rRNA from 1 species